rnacentral:rRNA from 1 species
AUGAGGAAUAUUGCGCAAUGGGCGAAAGCCUGACGCAGCGACGCCGCGUGGGUGAGGAAGUCCUUCGGGAUGUAAAGCCCUUUUCUUCGGGACGACUAAAGACGGUACCGGAGGAAGAAGCCCCGGCUAACUACGUGCCAGCAGCCGCGGUAAUACGUAGGGGGCAAGCGUUGUCCGGAUUUACUGGGCGUAAAGCGCCUGUAGGCGGCCUGUCAAGUCCGGCCUGAAAGCCCCCCGCUCAACGGGGGAGGGUGGCUGGAAACUGGCAGGCUUGAGGGCGAGAGAGGAGGGUGGAAUUCCUGGUGUAGCGGUGAAAUGCGUAGAGAUCAGGAGGAACACCCGUGGCGAAGGCGGCCCUCUGGCUCGACCCUGACGCUGAGAGGCGAAAGCGUGGGGAGCGAACGG